CGCAUGAAGAAUGACUUCAUCCUCAGCUGGUGUGUUUGGGAAGAAUGCUGGGAAAUUUUCCUCGUGACAUUCCUGAUCUGAAAAGAAGACUGCAGCUCGGAUAAAUUUGGGAGCUUUUAAAGGAGUGUGUUGACAUGUUUUAAGUUUUUAUUGACCAGAUUUUCUUAUUGUCUGAAAAAGUUUGGAGUUUAAAUACUUUCCAGAUCUGGAUGAAUACGGAAGAAGAAAACUGAAUGUGAAAAACUUUUAGACUGGUUUUUUUCUUAAUCUCUUUUUAAAAAAAACAAAAAAAAAAAAAACGUGUCUGCAUCUCCCUGAGAUCCGUUCUCUCAGGGAGAGAAGUUUCAGAAUAACUCGAGUCCUGGAGUUUCAAAGUUUCGUCCUUCCAUCAUUGUGUCCUUCCUCCCUUUUCACAUCAAUCCAUCAGUUUCUUUCAUUCUUGCUUCUACUUAUCCUUCACCCAUCAACUUUUCUGGCCAGAUGUCCAUCAGUUUCUUACAUCUGUCUGUUGGUGAGUUUCUAAUAUUUGUCCUUCAUCCCUCCUCAUAUUCAUCCAUACUUCCUGUCAUGUUUUUUUUUUUUUAACCUCUACACUUUGUUUUCUGAAAUGGAUUGUGAAAUAUAUUGUUUAGAUUUGUUUUGACCUGAAAAGUGUGUGGCAAGUUUUAUAAUUGUGUUCUCCUUUUCUGUUUUUAUUCAUGAUUUUAUUAUGGAUUUGCAGAAACAAGUGUGCAUGCUUUUAUUUUGAAAAUAUAUUUUUUCUUAUUCAGCGUUGAAAAUGAUGGUAAAUCACUGAACCUGAGUCUCCUGCGUGUUUCAGACGUCUCUGCUCUCACCCCCGAUUUAAAGGAUCUGAUUGGCUCCACAGUUAAUUAUCUACAGAAAUCAGGUGUGGUGAAUCAUGGGAGAACUGGAGAAAGGGCUGUAAAGCAAUCGGGGAGGUUUGUGGUCUGCAGGUCGGAGCAUCAGAGCCUCUGCUGGUUGCCAUGGAAAACACCAAACAUCUUGUUGCAACUCGCCGUCCUGCUGUGUAACUCGGCCUCCCCUGCAGAAGAUCUGCAGGGACGAAUCCCACUGAAGGUUCCGCAUGACCUUUGACCUCCAGCCUUCCCCUCCUGUUGUCCACGCCCCGUCAGAAUGACUUGUUUUACAGCAUCUUGUCACUUUAAAUCCAAAUAAAGUGCUUCUGGCCACGCCCCCCCCAACUCAACAUUUCCAUUCACACGUAAAUGGUUGAAAACGGAUGCGCAAUGUACAACCGUACAUCUUUGAAAAGCAGAAGGGGAGCCUCCUGCCCAACAAACAAGAAGUUUC